UAGGGAAUAUUGGACAAUGGGGGCAACCCUGAUCCAGCCAUGCCGCGUGAGUGAAGAAGGCCCUCGGGUUGUAAAGCUCUUUUGUCCGGAAAGAAAAGCUUCGGGUUAAUACCCCGGGGUUCUGACGGUACCGGAAGAAUAAGCACCGGCUAACUUCGUGCCAGCAGCCGCGGUAAUACGAAGGGUGCAAGCGUUACUCGGAAUUACUGGGCGUAAAGCGUGCGUAGGUGGUUGUUUAAGUCUGAUGUGAAAGCCCUGGGCUCAACCUGGGAAUGGCAUUGGAAACUGGGCAGCUAGAGUGCGGUAGAGGGUAGUGGAAUGCCCGGUGUAGCAGUGAAAUGCGUAGAGAUCGGGAGGAACACCUGUGGCGAAGGCGACUGCCUGGACCAGCACUGACACUGAGGCACGAAAGCGUGGGGAGCAAACA
rnacentral:rRNA from 1 species